rnacentral:rRNA from 1 species
CUUGACCUAUUCUCAAAGUUUAAAUGGGUAAGAACCCUGGGUUGCUUAAUUGAACCCGGUGGUCGAAUGACGGUUGCUAGUGGGCCAAUCUGGGUAAGCUAGAUUGGCGAUGCGGGAUGAUCCGAACGUCGAGUUAAAGUGCCAAAGUAUCCGCUAACCUAGAUCCCACAAAAGGUGUUGGUUCAUUAAGACAGCAGGACGGUGGCCAUGGAAGUCGGAACCCGCUAAGG